GAUGAACGCUGGCGGCGUGCCUCAUGCAUGCAAGUCGAACGGGGACUAUUUGAGUAGCAAUACUUGGAGAGUCCUAGUGGCGAUCGGGUGAGUAACACGUAGGUGACCUGCCCCGCAGAGGGGGAUAACGGCCCGAAAGGACUGCUAAUACCCCGUGUGAUUGGCGAUUCAGUUUGCCAAUGAAAGGUUUCCGAAAGGAUUCUGCUGCGGGAGGGGCCUGCGGCCCAUCAGGUAGUUGGUGGGGUAAUGGCUCACCAAGGCUACGACGGGUAGGGGACCUGAGAGGGUGGCCCCCCACAAUGGAACUGAAACACGGUCCAUACACCUACGGGUGGCAGCAGUAGGGAAUAUUGCUCAAUGGGCGAAAGCCUGAAGCAGCAACGCCGCGUGUGCGAUGAAGGCCUUCGGGUCGUAAAGCACUUUUCUGAGGGAUGAGAAAGGACAGUACCUCAGGAAUAAGUCUCGGCUAACUACGUGCCAGCCGCCGCAGUAACAC
rnacentral:rRNA from 1 species